GACGAACGCUGGCGGCGUGCCUAAUACAUGCAAGUUGAGCGCUGAAGGUUGGUACUUGUACCAAUUGGAUGAGCAGCGAACGGGUGAGUAACGCGUGGGGAAUCUGCCUUUGAGCGGGGGACAACAUUUGGAAACGAAUGCUAAUACCGCAUAAAAACUUUAAACACAAGUUUUAAGUUUGAAAGAUGCAAUUGCAUCACUCAAAGAUGAUCCCGCGUUGUAUUAGCUAGUUGGUGAGGUAAAGGCUCACCAAGGCGAUGAUACAUAGCCGACCUGAGAGGGUGGUCGGCCACAUUGGGACUGAGACACGGCCCAAACUCCUACGGGAGGCAGCAGUAGGGAAUCUUCGGCAAUGGACGAAAGUCUGACCGGGCAACGCCGCGUGAGUGAAGAAGGUUUUCGGAUCGUAAAACUCUGUUGGUAGAGAAGAACGUUGGUGAGAGUGGAAAGCUCAUCAAGUGACGGUAACUACCCAGAAAGGGACGGCUAACUACGUG
rnacentral:rRNA from 1 species